AGCGAACGCUGGCGGCAGGCUUAACACAUGCAAGUCGAGCGGGCACUUUCGGGUGUCAGCGGCGGACGGGUGAGUAACGCGUGGGAACGUGCCCUCUGGUUCGGAAUAACUCAGGGAAACUUGAGCUAACACCGGAUACGCCCUUUUGGGGAAAGGCUUGCUGCCGGAGGAUCGGCCCGCGUCUGAUUAGCUAGUUGGUGAGGUAACGGCUCACCAAGGCGACGAUCAGUAGCUGGUCUGAGAGGAUGAUCAGCCACACUGGGACUGAGACACGGCCCAGACUCCUACGGGAGGCAGCAGUGGGGAAUAUUGGACAAUGGGCGCAAGCCUGAUCCAGCCAUGCCGCGUGAGUGAUGAAGGCCUUAGGGUUGUAAAGCUCUUUUAUCCGGGACGAUAAUGACGGUACCGGAGGAAUAAGCCCCGGCUAACCUCGUG
rnacentral:rRNA from 1 species